ACAGAUGGGAGUGGGGCUAUGUAGAAUAAGUAGUUAUUUGCUGAAUUGUAGAUACUUAGUUUAUAGUGUAAACAGGGAUAGAUGACUGUUGAAAAGGUAGUUCAGUAGGUAAAAUAGAUGAAUAGUUAGGAAAAGCAGUUUUCAUUAGAGAUGUAGCAGUUGGUAUCUCGUGGUAGCAUAAGGAGGAUGGGAGAGAGGAAGUAAGGGCCAAACUGUGAUAGUGUGAGCCGGAGUAAGCUUGGUGCUACCUCUUUUCUUUUGUUUGUUAUUUUCUUUGAAUAAGAAGAUUAAGAGUUUCUGAAUAUUGUGAAAGUGAAUUAUGGAAUGGAAGUAUGAUUGUUAUUAAAUGAGAAGAAGAAAGAUUGAAUG
rnacentral:lncRNA from 1 species